rnacentral:rRNA from 1 species
UGACAGAUUGAGAGCUCUUUCUUGAUUCGGUGGGUGGUGGUGCAUGGCCGUUCUUAGUUGGUGGAGCGAUUUGUCUGGUUUAAUUCCGAUAACGAACGAGACUCUAGCCUGCUAACUAGGCGAUUUCCGGUACCCACAACAGUGUUACCGGCGAUUCAAUUUCUUCUUAGAGGGACAGGCGGCUCCUAGCCGCACGAGACUGAGCAAUAACAGGUCUGUGAUGCCCUUAGAUGUCCUGGGCCGCACGCGCGCUACACUGAAGGAAUCAGCGUGUCAUCCCUGGCCGACAGGCCCGGGUAACCCGUUGAACCUCCUUCGUGCUAGGGAUUGGGGCUGGCAAUUGUCCCCCAUGAACGAGGAAUUCCCAGUAAGCGCGAGUCAUAAGCUCGCGUUGAUUACGUCCCUGCCCUUUGUACACACCGCCCGUCGCUACUACCGAUUGAAUGAUUUAGUGAGGUCUUCGGACUGGUGCGCGGCGAUCGGUUCCACCGGCCGCCGAUGUUGCCGGAAAGAUGACCAAA